GGGCAUGUGGUGUAGUGGUAUCACGCACGCUUUGCAAGUUUCCUUGGUUUGCGUCUGGUCCUGGGUUCAAUCCCCAGCAUGUCCA